GCUCUCUCCCCUACUUCCUUGAGACCACUUUUUAUUUACUACCCCAUUUUUAGUCCUUUCCUGGCCAGCCUAUUUAGCAUGGGGCCACUAUCUCCCCAUGUCUUUACCCUGUUUAUUUUUCUUUCUUAGAACUUACCAUUAUCUGACACAUAGUUCUUAUUUAUCAGCCUUCUCUCUUAUUAGAAAGUCAGCUGAGCCAGAAUAGGAACUUUGACUCCUUUUGUUUGCCACUCUAUCCCUGGUGCUUUGAAUAAUGCCUGGCACACAGCAGAAGUUUAAUAAAUAAUGAAUGAAUGAAUCCUGUGAAGAGGCCCAUGAAGCACUUUCCAAAACCUCCAACCCCCCAGUUCUUCCAUUUUUCAGAUUAGGACCUUAGGCCCAAAAUAAGAGAGAAGUACCUUUCCCAAUGUCACCCAGUAGUCAAUAGCAGGCAAAGUCCUGAUUGUGUGCCUCUCUCUCAUUUCCCAGGCCUGGCCUCCCUCCCUACAUGCCUCAGCAAUCAUGAAAGAAAUGGAUGCCAGCUCCUGCUUCUUGUGACAUUAUGAAGGUCAUGCUUCAAAAGGUUCCCCAAAAAACUGAAGGCAAGAGGCUGAAGCUAUGAUACCACCAGGAGGGAGGUGAUGAGGACCUGGAUUCCUUGUGACUGGGAAAGUCAAGAGGAAGGGCAAAGUCUAGGAUUCUUUGUGAAAGAAACUUGUUGAAUAAUUGUGGUGUUUAAAGGUUCAAAAGGAAAAACUCAAAGUGAUAGCAAGGAGGCUGGAGGAGAGAUGGAAGGCAAUUGGCAUCUGCAGAUGUUCUACUGAGCUGUUCCCCACACCAACAGUGUAAUGGUCAGAGGGCCCUGUGAGCUUGCGGUCAGGAUCCCCCCACAGUACAGCUGAGGAACCCAAGUGAGGUGCAGAGAAAUGAAGCGAUGUGUCCACAUCCCAGGACCUGGGAGACAAUGGAGUGAUGUGGAGAUACUGUGACCUGCAGGGUCAGCUGCCUGUCACAACCAGG